AGAGUUUGAUCAUGGCUCAGAUUGAACGCUGGCGGCAGGCUUAACACAUGCAAGUCGAGCGGGGGAAAGUAGCUUGCUACUGGACCUAGCGGCGGACGGGUGAGUAAUGCUUAGGAAUCUGCCUAUUAGUGGGGGACAACAUUCCGAAAGGAAUGCUAAUACCGCAUACGUCCUACGGGAGAAAGCAGGGGACCUUCGGGCCUUGCGCUAAUAGAUGAGCCUAAGUCGGAUUAGCUAGUUGGUGGGGUAAAGGCCUACCAAGGCGACGAUCUGUAGCGGGUCUGAGAGGAUGAUCCGCCACACUGGGACUGAGACACGGCCCAGACUCCUACGGGAGGCAGCAGUGGGGAAUAUUGGACAAUGGGGGGAACCCUGAUCCAGCCAUGCCGCGUGUGUGAAGAAGGCCUUAUGGUUGUAAAGCACUUUAAGCGAGGAGGAGGCUACUAGUAUUAAUACUACUGGAUAGUGGACGUUACUCGCAGAAUAAGCACCGGCUAACUCUGUGCCAGCAGCCGCGGUAAUACAGAGGGUGCGAGCGUUAAUCGGAUUUACUGGGCGUAAAGCGUGCGUAGGCGGCCAUUUAAGUCAAAUGUGAAAUCCCCGAGCUUAACUUGGGAAUUGCAUUCGAUACUGGAUGGCUAGAGUAUGGGAGAGGAUGGUAGAAUUCCAGGUGUAGCGGUGAAAUGCGUAGAGAUCUGGAGGAAUACCGAUGGCGAAGGCAGCCAUCUGGCCUAAUACUGACGCUGAGGUACGAAAGCAUGGGGAGCAAACAGGAUUAGAUACCCUGGUAGUCCAUGCCGUAAACGAUGUCUACUAGCCGUUGGGGCCUUUGAGGCUUUAGUGGCGCAGCUAACGCGAUAAGUAGACCGCCUGGGGAGUACGGUCGCAAGACUAAAACUCAAAUGAAUUGACGG
rnacentral:rRNA from 1 species